GCCGAUGUAGCUCAGGGGUAGAGCGUUUCCUUGGUAAGGAAGAGGCCAGCGGUUCAAAUCCGCUCAUUGGCUCCA
rnacentral:tRNA from 1 species